GAUGAACGCUGGCGGCGUGCCUAAUACAUGCAAGUCGAGCGAACAGACGAGAGUGUUUCCACUCUCUGACUUUAGCGGCGGGCGGGAGUGACACAUGGGUGAAAUCUAUCUAUGACUGUGGUAACAUCGCGAAAAAGCAGCUAAUAUCGCAGAAUAUAUUUAGCUUCAUGUUUCACUAGUGUAAGAGGCGUUUGUUGUGUCUUAUAUAUGUAGCCGCGCCGCAUUAGCUAGUUGGUGAGGUAACGGCUUACCAAGGCAACGAUACGUAGCCGACCUGAGAGGGUGAUCGGCCACACUGGAACUGAGACACGGCCCAGACUCCUACGGGAGGCAGCAGUAGGGAAUCUUCCGCAAUGGGCGAAAGUCUGACGGAGCAAUGCCGCGUGAGUGAUGAAGGUUUUCGGAUCGUAAAACUCUGUUAUAAGGGAAGAACAAGUGUGUUAGUAACUGAGCGUACCUUGACGGUACCUAACCAGAAAGCCACGGCUAACUACGUG
rnacentral:rRNA from 1 species